GGAGAGGUCGCAUAGUGGCCUAGUGCGUACGCCUGGAAAGCGUAUGUAGCAGCAAUGCUACCGGGGGUUCGAAUCCCCCCCUCUCCGCAA
rnacentral:tRNA from 3 species